UCACAACAUAGGAAUAACCAUUUAUAAGCUACCCUUAACAAAGUUUAUUAACGAAAAGAAUGGAGUCAUAUGAUGAAAUCCAACUAAUUCUAGAAAAACUAAUGGAAACAAUAAUUCAAGAAUAUGAUGCAAAAUUUAGAACGAAAUAAAAUUUAUGACCUUGAUAAGCAGAACCCUAAACAUAAAGGAGAAUUAAAAACACUGACAGAGCAUAGUGCAAUUCCAAGAAGACAAAUAUAGCUAAACUAGCUUGAAGCAACCACUAUUAUACUAAAAG
rnacentral:misc_RNA from 1 species